rnacentral:rRNA from 1 species
GAUGAACGCUGGCGGCGUGCCUAAUACAUGCAAGUCGAGCGAAUGGAUUAAGAGCUUGCUCUUAUGAAGUUAGCGGCGGACGGGUGAGUAACACGUGGGUAACCUGCCCAUAAGACUGGGAUAACUCCGGGAAACCGGGGCUAAUACCGGAUAACAUUUUGAACCGCAUGGUUCGAAAUUGAAAGGCGGCUUCGGCUGUCACUUAUGGAUGGACCCGCGUCGCAUUAGCCAGUUGGUGAGGUAACGGCUCACCAAGGCAACGAUGAGUAGCCGACCUGAGAGGGUGAUCGGCCACACUGGGACUGAGACACGGCCCAGACUCCUACGGGAGGCAGCAGUAGGGAAUCUUCCGCAAUGGACGAAAGUCUGACGGAGCAACGCCGCGUGAGUGAUGAAGGCUUUCGGGUCGUAAAACUCUGUUGUUAGGGAAGAACAAGUGCUAGUUGAAUAAGCUGACACCUUGACGGUACCUAACCAGAAAGCCACGGCUAACUACGUGCCAGCCGCCGCGGUAA